rnacentral:rRNA from 1 species
AUACGGAGGGUGCAAGCGUUAUCCGGAUUCAUUGGGUUUAAAGGGUGCGCAGGCGGAUAUUUAAGUCAGUGGUGAAAUCCCGGGGCUCAACCUCGGAACUGCCAUUGAUACUGAAUAUCUGGAAUACGGUUGAAGCGGGCGGAAUGUAGCAUGUAGCGGUGAAAUGCAUAGAGAUGCUACAGAACACCGAUCGCGAAGGCAGCUCACUAAGCCGAUAUUGACGCUCAGGCACGAAAGCGUGGGGAGCGAACAGGAUUAGAUACCCUUGUAGUCC